CCUACGGGAGGCAGCAGUAGGGAAUAUUGCUCAAUGGGGGAAACCCUGAAGCAGCAACGCCGCGUGGAGGAUGAAGGUUUUAGGAUUGUAAACUCCUUUUGAUAGAGAAGAGGAUGACGGUAUCUAACGAAUAAGCACCGGCUAACUCCGUGCCAGCAGCCGCGGUAAUACGGAGGGGGCAAGCGUUACUCGGAAUCACUGGGCGUAAAGAGUGCGGAGGCGGGGGAAGAAGUCAGAUGUGAAAUCCUGUAGCUUAACUCCAGAACUGCCUUUGAAACGGUUACUCUGGAGUGUGGGAGAGGUAGUUGGACUUCUUUGUGUAGGGGUCCAAUCCGUCGAGCUC
rnacentral:rRNA from 1 species